CUUUGUGACUGAAUUUCCGAAAUUCACGUCACAAUGGUUAUGCUCUUCAUACAGUAUAUGGUUGGUCAUUGUAUCUAAUCGGUGCCAUUUGGAACUCCGUCACUCAACUAUUAUUACAUCUCGCCAACAAAGUGAAGAAUCCACCUAAUACUCAAGGGAAAUCCGAUGUGGAACAGGGACUUCCAAAAGAAGGGUCCCAACCAAAAGGAGAAGAUGACCAAGAGUUAUCAAUCGUCCGUAACCAACGGAAGUCCCAAUCUUCACAGGAGGAAUCAACAUCAUCAGCAUCUACCAAAAUAGAUACAACCUCCGUAAAAUCAUGGCACAUCUACGACACCAUGAUUUCGCUCUCCAUGCAAAGGUGAUUAAGACCCCAGACCUGGGAGGACAUUUUUUGGGGAUAGUAUCCUCAAUUUCAUCACCAACGUCCUUCUGGGUACAGCCACAUGGGCUGAAAGAAAAGGGGCUACUCAUGGACAACCUGCUCCGCACUUACUAUGGGCAGGUCCAAGGUGCCCUACGGCCCAUGAAUUCGGAGGAAUCCAGAUGGAAGCUCCUGGGUCACACUAUAUUACCUGCGCAUGGAGCCCACUAUUCAACAACUAAUAAUUGAAGCUGACCUAGGCCAGAUAGGUCAGAGGGGAACCACCAUUGAGGAAGGUGAAUUCCUCGAUGAUGAAUGGAACUCCUUUGAGGAAGCCGACUCUGGUCUAGAGGACGAUUGAACAAUGUCAGCAGGAAAGUGUGUGUACAGUGUAUAUACUUUUAAAUUUCUAGCACCGUUAUUAAUGCAGUUACCAUUGUCAUUGACAUUAUUAUUCUGAUAUCUUUAUUAGUGUUACAAUUAUUGUUGGUAUAUGCUCUAUUAUUAUUAUUAUUAUUAUUAUUAUUAUUAUUAUUAUUAUUAUUGUUUUAUUGCUAUUUUGAUGUCGUUGAGUUUUCUUAUAUUCUUUUACUCACUUACUUUGUUUAAUAUUAGAUUUAAUUAUUACAUUUUCGGUGUCUUUUUAGGUAUAAUUGAUUUUAUUAUUUUUAUGAUUGUAAUCCUGUUAUUAAUAUUGUAUAUAUGAAGGAUUAGAUGUCGGCCAAUUAAGUGAUUUAUUUUAAAGGGAAAUUCAAGCAUAAUUGUAUUAUAACUUCAUUAAACUUCUGGAAUGGUAACUUCUGGCUGCGACAUCUAACCUUCGAUCAGUUAUUGGGAAAUAACGCUUCCACUGAUACGAAUGUCCGGAUUGUACCCCCGACAUUCGUCUUAGGGGGGAGGUGUUACGUCCGCGUGGAAAAUCAGAUCCUACGUACAUGGUCUAUGACUAAGCAUCGGAAGACUAAACAGUGGGGUCUGGUUUUUAUCACAUAGCGACCGUAGGAAAUGGUUAUCUAGCAUAUGGGUUCUAGGUCUAUGGACAAUGAAGUGAACCUAAAGGACAAUGUUUAUAGAAUAUAUUUAGGCUAGGGUCUUGACUGUUAUUGGACGUUAUUUAUACGAUACAUGUGCGGACA